rnacentral:lncRNA from 1 species
GGUGGUUGGUGCAGCUGUCCAGCAGAAGAAAGCCUAUAAGACAUAAGUGGUGUCCAAAUAUAAGAAAAGACCUUCAGUCCAAGGAAAUGAUGUUUUAGAGGCCUCCAAGGGAGCUCCAAGGUUGAAGGAUUUGGCAUUAGCGAUAGAAUUUGCACAGGAAGUUGUCAGGGUGCACGACGAUAGUAGGUUGGUGCAGAUGGACCGCACGACGUUUAUUAAGACUUUACAGCACCAAGAUGGAGAUUAUAGGCUUAGGUAUAGUGCUCCCAAUCCUUAGGAGGCCAAAUGAAGAGCCAUAGUGUUGGCUCUAUGAGUCUAGAACUAGUUUGGGUCCUAGGGCU